rnacentral:snRNA from 1 species
AUAUUCACCUGGUUCCGGGGUAUCGUUGAUCACCGAGGACGAGCCCCGAUGGCGAUGCACGGGCAUUGCACUGCGCUCGCAUUGACCCAUUUCACUGCCCCAAACUGCGGCACAUGGAGCACGCAAAUUGC